AUGACCGGCAGAAGCGCCGAGCCCAGACCUGUUGCCGCGGCGAGCACUAUGACAACGCAGUUUUCAGGCCUGUUUAGAUCCAUUUCGUUUCUCAAAUUUUUAGGCGAGGACUAUAAGGCCAGGCCGCAAGAAAACCGGGGGCAUUUCGGUCGAGGGCGCCGUGCUAAUCGCGGCGGCGUUCCGCUGAAAAUCAGGCCCCGACGACCACCGAUCUCGAAGUUCGACCGGACGAAUACAACUCCGGGCGGCCAAAUCGAGGAGCUCAUGGAGGGGCGCGUGGCCGGCGACCUGGCCGGCGGGAUCGCUGUCGCAUAUUCCCCAUCUGCGUCCAUGGCUGUCGGCAGGCUGAGCAACGACCAGUCGGCCCAGCUUAACAAGCUGAAAGCAAUGGAGGGAUUCAACACACUUUGCACUGAUAUCUCGGAGAUCGGGAUAUUGGAGAGACAUGGAGAGGUGGGAGGAACUCGCGGUGGCCGGUGGCUACACGACCCUCGUCGUAGCUUGAACCUUGAGCAGGAGGGGGGCCGACACCGGCUCUUUUCCUCCUCCACACCAAUGCCAGGCACGGGUCCAUGGCGCAUUCUUGGCGUCUUGAUCCAGCGGCAGCCUCUCGUACGUGGUGUUGCCGGACGUGGCUGCAAUCAUCAUGACGGGGCCAGAGCCCGGACGCGGACAGCUCUCCCAUCACGGUACGCGGCGAGCCCCGUUGUUCCAGGAGACGCCGGCGCCGGACAGGGACAGUAUUUCAAACCGGCCGGUAGGACGACGGCGGCCGCCCCCGUCCGCGCGGGCUCCAAUCGUGAAUGCAUCUGUUACUUGUGUACUUCUAGCCGGGACGCGUCCUUUCCGGCAAGGUGCACGGCUAGCUCGAUUUCUUUCCGAGCUAGGUACCGCAGUACACGCUACACGAAGAGAGAUGCAUACGUACACAAGCAACGCAUGCUAGAUAAUCGAUUUACCCUGGAGGAAUCCAUCAACCUGCUUAAUGUCAAUGAAACGCGGUGCCAGCCAAGGACCUCAUCGGCCUCGCCGUGGCCGGCGCCCAUGCCUCGUCAAAGCUCGAUGUGGCGAGAGCACACGGUGACAGUGCUCACAGACUCAGCACUGGGCAAUAUACUGCAUAACCCGGUAGCAACCGGACGAGUCCCCAAGUGGGGCAUAGAGCUUGGAUCCUGGGACAUCAUCUACAAAGGCGGUGACUCCCUCAAAUCACAAGUACUCGCCGAUUUCCUAUCAGAAUGGACAGAACUCCAGACUCCCAGUCCCCCAGACCUGUGUGGGCUUGACAUCGACGAUCCCGACCUUGUCGCGCAGCUCCUGGAACCGAACACGACCAGGUGCCUUCGCCGGGAUGUCUGCCUUCUCGGGCUUUGUGUAGCCCGUACGCCCUGCUCAUGCUUUGCCACUAGAGUAAGGACCUCCUACAAGUCCUCCCCGUGCGAUGGUGUUGUGAUCGUCCCGCAGGCUCGCCGAGAAGUUCCUCCUAGGCGUCGCAACCUGUGUGGAUCGCCAACGUUGUUGGCGUCGAACAGGUCCGACUGCGCUGUAGGCGGGGACACAAAAUGCUCAAGAACCAUCUCGCUCUUGGGCAUCAGAGUUGCUGGGGUCGUAGUUCCUGACGUCACACUGCCCAGGAACUCCCUUCCCGGGGUCAUCGUGUCAGCGACAUUCUACCCAGGAACUCCCUUCCCGGGGAUGACUUGUCAGACACCGCACUACCCGGAGUUGCUUCUCCCAAGGUAG
rnacentral:rRNA from 1 species